UACGGAGGGUGCAAGCGUUAUCCGGAUUUACUGGGUUUAAAGGGUGCGUAGGCGGCCCUGUAAGUCAGUGCUGAAAUAUCCCGGCUUAACCGGGAGGGUGGCAUUGAUACUGCGGGGCUAGAGUACAGAUGAGGUAGGCGGAAUUGACGGUGUAGCGGUGAAAUGCUUAGAUAUCGUCAAGAACACCUAUAGCGAAGGCAGCUUACUAGGCUGUAACUGACGCUGAGGCACGAAAGUGUGGGGAUCAAACAGG
rnacentral:rRNA from 1 species